GACGAACGCUGGCGGCGUGCUUAACACAUGCAAGUCGAACGGAAAGGCCCGGCUUUUGUGGGGUGCUCGAGUGGCGAACGGGUGGGUAACACGGGAGUGACCUGCGCUUUACUUUGGGAUAACUUCAGGAAACAGGGGCUAAUGCCGGAUAGGAGCUCCUGCUGGAUGGUGGGGGUUGGUAAGUUUCGGCGGUUGGGUCUGGACUCGCGGCUCAUCAGCUUGUUGGUGGGGUAGUGGCUUACCAAGGCUUUGACGGGUAGCCGGCCUGAGAGGGUGACCGGCCACAUUGGGGCUGAGAUACGGCCCAGACUCCUACGGGAGGCAGCAGUGGGGAAGAUGGCACAAUGGGCGGAAGCCUGAUGCAGCAACGCCGCGUGCGGGAUGACGGCCUUCGGGUUGUAGACCGCUUUCGCCGUUGACGAAGCGAGCGUGACGGUAACGGGUAAAGAAGCCCCGGCUAACUACGUG
rnacentral:rRNA from 1 species